ensembl:lncRNA
UGUCUUUAAAGCUUUGAUAUUUUGCUCAUCAUGGAUAUUUUGCAUUAAUCUUGAUUUUUUAAAGAUGCAUUAAAGUAUCAUUUGUCUUGAUUACUGAGUGUUUCUGGCCUCCCCUUAAAUUUUGCACGGAGGGGAGUACCCAGCUUGUCCCACCCUAGUCCCCCACGCUGCUGUGGCCCUCCCCCCACCACCUGCCUCCUGCUGCCCUGUGGCUCCCUCCAUGGGCUCUGCAGGCAGACCUGGUUGAGUCCCAACAUGGCUUCCUACCAUCUGUGCCACUGGGGUAAAUUACUUAACCUUUCUGACCUUCGGUUUCUUCCUCUGCUCCAUAGAGAGGAUCACACUUUCUACCACACAGGUUGUUGGGAGGGCUAAAUGAGCUAAGAAUGCGGGUGAAGCAGUCAGCCUUGAGCCAGCAUCUUUGUAAAAGUCUAGUGACAGCCCUAAUCGUUUUCACAGGCACAGUUCAGAACCUGGCGAUGGUCUGAAACAGUGUGAGCGUGCAGCCCGUAGGCAGAAAGAACCACGUCCCGCUUGCUGAGGCCGCCCCUGCCCCUGCACCACCACGUCAUUCAGACAAGAGAUGGGUCCCCUUUCCAUCAGCCCUGACAGAGACAAGCACCCUGGAGAAUUACAGCUCACAAAACGGGCCGCAUGCUCCUGAGCCAAGACCUGGUACAAGCAUUUUCAACGGAAUGACUGCCGUCCUCUGGGCCAGUACACCGUUCUGAGUUCAGGGCAGUCAUGACGAGAUUCUAAAAGGCCAGCAGCACACUCUGCCAUCUUCAAGAGCCUUUAGCCCAUCUCCUCAGUGGGGAAACUGAAGCUCGGAGAGAGCGUGGACCACCUUGAGACACCCAGGAAGGUCCAAGCUGUCUCUGCUGCUCUGAGGCAUUGGGGCAUCUUCCCCGUCCGUCCCCACCCCCAUCCCCAAACUCCAGCUCAGCUCAGCCCCUCGGGGAGGCCUUCCCUGACCCCCUCUGGCAGGUGCCCAUCUCCUGCUCUCAGAACGCCCUCACUGCAGCUGGCGAUUAUGCACUUACCUAUGGGGCCCCUCACAAGGCCCUCCCCCAGCUUUGCUCACUGUUGUGCCCCUGGCUCCCAGCCAGUGAAUGUCCAAAGCAAAUUUGCUUAUUGAACUGAUCGGAAAUCGAUCGGCUAGCUGACUGAUGAGGGACUGAUCCAUCCGCCCAUCACUGGGAGAGAUCUCAGGGCUGAGGACCUGGGUGUUGGGGAUCAGGCCGGUCUUGCUCACCUGUACACCUGGUCUUGCUCACCUAUGCACCUGGACACACCUUCUAGCAGCACCAACAGCUCCUUCUCUCGCCAUGAGCUCCAGGAGACCCCUUGCGCCUCCUAAGGGCCCACAGGGCCAGGCAUGGCUCAGCUGGGACGGCUCAUCUCGGCUCCAGGCCUUGUUGGAGGAUCCCGAUGGCUUCACCCUCAUGCCGGCCCCGCAGCCAGACCACCGAGCUGUAACGUCAGGAUUUUCUUUUUCGAGUUCUGAAGUCUGCACGGAUGCUGCCCUGGAGGAAAAGGAACAUGGUCCCUCUUGUGUCUUGAGAAGACCCUCUGCUGCCUCCUGUGCAGACACACACUUUCCCCACCGCAGAAGCCAGGGCACGAGCCCGAACACGGCUGCAGGGAUCCCACUGUCCUCGCCGAGGCCACGGAGCACCUCCCGGGCACGCGGAGCCUGCCCGGCCUGCAGGCUCCUGCACACUCCCUGUUGUGGCUUAAAGGUCCCCCUGUGCCGUCCGGGGUCUUCCUGUGGAAAGAGAAGAGGAAGCCACCCUAAGAGGGCGUCUCGAGUGCUGCAUGGGGUCCUGGACGUGCAGGUUUAGCACAGCGCCUGGCACAGAGCGAGGAGCGGCGCACGACAGCUAGAAGUCCCUGUGAUUAAUCCUGAGAAAGGAACGUCCCAUCCGAAUCAGAGAGGAGGAGGACAGGCUCGCCACAGACUCGCAUCAGAAGUGGAGGCCUCCCUCCAGACUCUCAGAAUGCAAGCUAAUGAAAUGUCGAAGGAAUGACAGAAUUGGACAAGCACCGCUUUACAGCCCCCAGGAAACGACUGACUCAGUCGGGGAGCUUCAACUUGGGGACCGGGGGAUGGAGUGAAAACCACAAUGAGAGCGACCUCGCAGCCCCCAGGCUGGCUCCAGUAAAAAGGACGCAGAGAGGAGAAUCGGAACCUUCAGACGCUGCUGGCAGGAAGGUGAAAUGGUGCAGCUGAUUUGGGAAAACAGUACAGCAGGUCUUCCACGGGACGCCUGGGCUGGCCUCUGUAGGUCAGCGCCGUGGAAGUAGUGGGCAGGGUGGUCACUGCUGGAGGUUCGAAGAGACUCGAGACACAACGACAAAAUGCAACGACUCAAUGAAGGAACCCAACGUGAAACAGCUGCUCUAACAGAUAUCUGGGGACAACUGGGGGACUGGAAUUCAGAUUGCCUCUUAGACGCUCUGCUCGGCUGGAAAUGGCCCCCAAAGCCGUCCGCACCCUCAUCCCCAGGACCCGUGAGUACGUUCCCGUCCGUGCAGAAGUGACUUUGCAGGUGUGGAGAGGGGCCCUGAGGUGGGAGAUUGUCCUGGUUCAGCCUACCCACAAGGGUCCUGCUGAGAGGGCAGCAGGAGGGGCCGAGAGAAGGAGGAGAUGUGUCAACAGAAGCAGGUCAGAGAGACGUGACCUUCCUGGCUUUGAGGGUCAGGAAAGGCAGCCGUGAGCCAAGGAAUGCAGUGCCUCCAGCAGCCGGAAAAAGACAAGGAAAUACAUUCUCCCCAGAGCCUCCAGCAGGAACCAGCCCUGCUGACACCGUGAUUUUAGCCUCUGAGACCCGUUUCAGGCUUCUGACCUCCCGAACUGUAAGGUAAUAAAUCUGUGUUGUUCCAAGUCACUAAAUCUAUGGCCGUUUGUGACAGUGGCCAUAGGAAAAUAACACAGAUGCUAUCUGGGAAUUAUUGUUCAUUUGUUGGGGUGUGAUGACGGCACCGCAUUUAGCAGGAGAAUGCCCUCAUCCCGAGAAGAUGCAGACCACAGCAUUUAGGGGGGAAGUGUCGUUACUCUCUACAGAGGAAGCAAGUAAAGCAAAAGUCAGCAACGCCCGGUUCUGCUGGUUCUACGCUACUGUUUCUACCUGCUUAAACUUCGC